rnacentral:rRNA from 1 species
CCUACGGGAGGCAGCAGUGAGGAAUAUUGGUCAAUGGCCGGGAGGCUGAACCAGCCAAGUCGCGUGAGGGAAGACGGCCCUACGGGUUGUAAACCUCUUUUGUCAGGGAGCAAGGUGCAGGUCGGGACCUGCUGUGAGAGUACCUGAAGAAAAAGCAUCGGCUAACUCCGUGCCAGCAGCCGCGGUAAUACGGAGGAUGCGAGCGUUAUCCGGGUUUAUUGGGGUAAAAGGGUGCGCAGGCGGAGGCACAAGUCGGCGGUAAAAUCGCGGGGCUCAACCCCGCUCCGCCGUUGAAACUGUGUGCCUUGAGUGCGCGAAGGGUAGGUGGAAUGCGUGGUGUAGCGGUGAAAUGCAUAGAUAUCACGCAGAACUCCGAUCGCGAAGGCAGCCUACCGGCGCGCAACUGACGCUCAUGCACGAAAGCGUGGGUAUCGAACAGGAUUAGAUACCCUAGUAGUC